AUGCAGCUCAAAGAGAAGAAAUUCUUAGACCCAUUCUGUCUGGAGAAAAUGCAUGUGGACAGCACACAGCUGAGGCCCGUGACUCAACUGGACCUCUGGACUGAAAACCUCUCAUACACUCUUUCAUUCUGCCUUAUCUCUUCCCUUUCCUUGUUAAAUUCUCCAUCUUUCAUAUUUCUGUCACACCUUAGAAUUUGCACUAUAAUGAAUUUCAGUCAGAUACUCCAGACAGUAACUAUGUGCAUAUUUAGAAUAACAGUAAUCAAUAAUAAUAGACACACACUAAAUGGAGUUUCAUUAUUCUUCCAUAUUAAAUUAUUGUUUUAAUUAUUUCUGCCUUGUCAUCUGUUGUGUGCAUAUUGUUCAGAACCACUUUUUUGGAUUUAAAAGAGAGAGGAAUAUGAACUUUGCUAUGUCUGUAAAUGUUUUAGUAAUCAGGUUUCCUGAAACACUGAGUGUUGUCUAGCUGUCCUGUUAGGAUGCAUGAGUUCAACUCUGACGUUAAACUGAAUGGUGCAUGUGUGACCUUCGUCAACACCAAUUUAGCCAUGAUAAAAAUAAUUUGUGUCAGGAGCAAAUUCAACCCAAAAUCAAAAGAAAAACAUAUGCAUAAAAAAUAGGCCUUUUUUUAUUCUUUUGCAUUAUGACAUUAUUUUCAUGACAAUCUCAAUUUUCUCAAUAAUGUGGAAAAAAAAUGUGAUGUAUUGAUAUUUGUAUUUUGAUAUAUUAUUCUUAAAUUUUUUGUGAGAUCCAGCUGACUAGACAUUAACAUUUUGUUCAUCAUGGUGAACAAAAGCAUUUAUUAGUACAAGUAAAAAUAUCUAAAAAUGGAACAAAAUUGCUCUCAAGGUUCAUAUAGAGAGUUUAGUAGCCACUUAAAGUAAAGUUGGUGCUAAAUGUAUCUCUACAAAGAAGACAUUUUUUUAAAAUUGAAUAGUGAAAGACCUUAUGCAUCUGUUAUAUACUGAUGUUCAGAUGAGUCUGAGUGGUGUGUUUAGAAAGAUUGAGCUUGGAACAAAAAUCGUUGCUCUUGUCAAACUGCUUCAACGAUUUAAGCAAGUGUUUCCUGUUUGAAGAUUACUGUAUGUGUUACAAGCCAAGUCUCCAUGUGUUACUUUGAUAACGGCAGGAGGGAAAUUGUGUCUGGCAGCUUGAUUAACGGUCCAUCAGGCUUUGCAAAUAAAUGUCUUAAUUUAUUCA
ensembl:lncRNA